rnacentral:lncRNA from 1 species
AUAAUAGAAAACUAAUUAUAAAAAGAUUAUGUCACAUAUAAUUUACAAAUUAUAUCUACGUUUUUUCCCUUUUCUAAAUAAAAAAGGAAAAUUAACAAAACAUAUACAUAUUAUAAUUAGAUUUUGACAUGUAUCAAAUAAAAAAAAAUCUUUUUUGAUAAAUUCAAAUAAAAAAAUCUUUGAUGACAAAAAAAAAAUCUUUAAGUAUGAUUUUUAAUCUAUAAAAACGAAUAGCAAAUCUAUACUAUUAAUUGAUAAAGAC